UAUGGCCACAUCUCAUUGAAACACCGGUUCCCGUACGAUCACCGAAGUUAAACAAUGUCCAGCUUGGUCAGUAUCGAGAUCGGUGACUGCUUGGGAAUACCACGUGCUGUU